GGCGUGUGACUGCGUACCUUUUGUAUAAUGGGUCAGCGACUUAUAUUCUGUAGCAAGGUUAACCGAAUAGGGGAGCCGAAGGGAAACCGAGUCUUAACUGGGCGUUAAGUUGCAGGGUAUAGACCCGAAACCCGGUGAUCUAGCCAUGGGCAGGUUGAAGGUUGGGUAACACUAACUGGAGGACCGAACCGACUAAUGUUGAAAAAUUAGCGGAUGACUUGUGGCUGGGGGUGAAAGGCCAAUCAAACCGGGAGAUAGCUGGUUCUCCCCGAAAGCUAUUUAGGUAGCGCCUCGUGAAUUCAUCUCCGGGGGUAGAGCACUGUUUCGGCAAGGGGGUCAUCCCGACUUACCAACCCGAUGCAAACUGCGAAUACCGGAGAAUGUUAUCACGGGAGACACACGGCGGGUGCUAACGUCCGUCGUGAAGAGGGAAACAACCCAGACCGCCAGCUAAGGUCCCAAAGUCAUGGUUAAGUGGGAAACGAUGUGGGAAGGCCCAGACAGCCAGGAUGUUGGCUUAGAAGCAGCCAUCAUUUAAAGAAAGCGUAAUAGCUCACUGGUCGAGUCGGCCUGCGCGGAAGAUGUAACGGGGCUAAACCAUGCACCGAAGCUGCGGCAGCGACGCUUAUGCGUUGUUGGGUAGGGGAGCGUUCUGUAAGCCUGCGAAGGUGUGCUGUGAGGCAUGCUGGAGGUAUCAGAAGUGCGAAUGCUGACAUAAGUAACGAUAAAGCGGGUGAAAAGCCCGCUCGCCGGAAGACCAAGGGUUCCUGUCCAACGUUAAUCGGGGCAGGGUGAGUCGACCCCUAAGGCGAGGCCGAAAGGCGUAGUCGAUGGGAAACAGGUUAAUAUUCCUGUACUUGGUGUUACUGCGAAGGGGGGACGGAGAAGGCUAUGUUGGCCGGGCGACGGUUGUCCCGGUUUAAGCGUGUAGGCUGGUUUUCCAGGCAAAUCCGGAAAAUCAAGGCUGAGGCGUGAUGACGAGGCACUACGGUGCUGAAGCAACAAAUGCCCUGCUUCCAGGAAAAGCCUCUAAGCAUCAGGUAACAUCAAAUCGUACCCCAAACCGACACAGGUGGUCAGGUAGAGAAUACCAAGGCGCUUGAGAGAACUCGGGUGAAGGAACUAGGCAAAAUGGUGCCGUAACUUCGGGAGAAGGCACGCUGAUAUGUAGGUGAAGUCCCUCGCGGAUGGAGCUGAAAUCAGUCGAAGAUACCAGCUGGCUGCAACUGUUUAUUAAAAACACAGCACUGUGCAAACACGAAAGUGGACGUAUACGGUGUGACGCCUGCCCGGUGCCGGAAGGUUAAUUGAUGGGGU
rnacentral:rRNA from 1 species